rnacentral:rRNA from 1 species
UGCAGCGACGCCGCGUGAGGGAUGACGGCCUUCGGGUUGUAAACCUCUUUCAGCAGGGACGAAGCGAAAGUGACGGUACCUGCAGAAGAAGCACCGGCCAACUACGUGCCAGCAGCCGCGGUAAUACGUAGGGUGCAAGCGUUGUCCGGAAUUAUUGGGCGUAAAGAGCUCGUAGGCGGCUAGUCGCGUCGGCUGUGAAAACCUGGGGCUCAACCCCGGGCCUGCAGCCGAUACGGGCUAGCUAGAAUUCGGUAGGGGAGACUGGAAUUCCUGGUGUAGCGGUGAAAUGCGCAGAUAUCAGGAGGAACACCGGUGGCGAAGGCGGGUCUCUGGGCCGAUAUUGACGCUGAGGAGCGAAAGCGUGGGGAGCGAACAGGAUUAGAUACCCUGGUAGUCCACGCCGUAAACGGUGGGAACUAGGUGUGGGCCACAUUCCACGUGGUCUGUGCCGCAGCUAACGCAUUAAGUUCCCCGCCUGGGGAGUACGGCCGCAAGGCUAAAACUCAAAGGAAUUGACGGGGGCCCGCACAAGCGGCGGAGCAUGUGGCUUAAUUCGAUGCAACGCGAAGAACCUUACCUGGGCUUGACAUGUAGGGAAAACUCGUAGAGAUACGGGGUCCUUUUGG